rnacentral:rRNA from 1 species
AACCUCCGCAAUGUGAGAAAUCGCGACGGGGGGAUCCCAAGUGCCAUUCUUAACGGGAUGGCUUUUCAUUAGUGUAAAGAGCUUUUGGAAUAAGGGCUGGGCAAGACCGGUGCCAGCCGCCGCGGUAACACCGGCAGCUCUAGUGGUAGCAGUUUUUAUUGGGCCUAAAGCGUCCGUAGCCGGUUUAAUAAGUCUCUGGUGAAAUCCUGUAGCUUAACUGUGAGAAUUGCUGGAGAUACUAUUAGACUUGAGACCGGGAGAGGUUAGAGGUACUCCCAGGGUAGAGGUGAAAUUCUGUAAUCCUGGGAGGACCGCCUGUUGCGAAGGCGUCUAACUGGAACGGUUCUGACGGUGAGGGACGAAAGUUAGGGGCGCGAACCGGAUUAGAUACCCGGGUAGUCCUAACUGUAAACGAUGCGGACUUGGUGUUGGGGUGGCUUUGAGCUGCUCCAGUGCCGAAGGGAAGCUGUUAAGUCCGCCGCCUGGGAAGUACGGUCGCAAGACUGAAACUUAAAGGAAUU